rnacentral:rRNA from 1 species
GACGAACGCUGGCGGCGUGCUUAACACAUGCAAGUCGAACGGAAAGGCCCUGCUUUUGUGGGGUGCUCGAGUGGCGAACGGGUGAGUAACACGUGAGUAACCUGCCCUUGACUUUGGGAUAACUUCAGGAAACUGGGGCUAAUACCGGAUAGGAGCUCCUGCUGCAUGGUGGGGGAUGGAAAGUUUCGGCGGUUGGGGAUGGACUCGCGGCUUAUCAGCUUGUUGGUUGGGUAGUGGCUUACCAAGGCUUUGACGGGUAGCCGGCCUGAGAGGGUGACCGGGCACAUUGGGACUGAGAUACGGCCCAGACUCCAACGGGAGACAGCAGUGGGGAAUAUUGCACAAUGGGCGGAAGCCUGAUGCAGCAACGCCGCGUGCGGGAUGACGGCCUUCGGGUUGUAAACCGCUUUCGCCUGUGACGAAGCGUGAGUGACGGUAAUGGGUAAAGAAGCACCGGCUAACUACGUG